rnacentral:rRNA from 1 species
CCUACGGGGGGCGGCAGUGGGGAAUAUUGCACAAUGGACGAAAGUCUGAUGCAGCCAUACCGCGUGUGUGAAGAAGACCUGAGGGUUGUAAAGCACUUUCAAUUGUGAGGAAGAUUAAGUAGUUAAUACCUGCUUAGUUUGACGUUAACUUUAGAAGAAGCACCGGCUAACUCUGUGCCAGCAGCCGCGGUAAUACAGAGGGUGCAAGCGUUAUUCGGAAUUACUGGGCGUAAAGCGCGCGUAGGCGGAUUAUUAAGUCAGUUGUGAAAGCCCUGGGCUCAACCUAGGAACUGCAUCUGAUACUGGUAAUCUAGAGUUUAGGAGAGGGAAGUGGAAUUCCAGGUGUAGCAGUGAAAUGCGUAGAUAUCUGGAGGAACAUCAGUGGCGAAGGCGACUUCCUGGCCUAAAACUGACGCUGAGGUGCGAAAGCGUGGGUAGCGAACGGGAUUAGAUACCCCGGUAGUCCACGCCGUAAACGAUGUCAACUAGUUGUUGGUCCUAUUAAAAGGAUUAGUAACGAAGCUAACGCGAUAAGUUGACCGCCUGGGGAGUACGGUCGCAAGAUUAAAACUCAAAGGAAUUGACGG